ACAUGGCGGCGACUGCGGCAAAGCGAGAGCCUCGGAAACGCCGCUGCCGCCAGCACAGCCGGAGACCUGAGCCGACCUUGAGGGCUGUCCGCGGGCCCUGCACUCUGUCGAUGAGUCGGAGAAGUCCCGUGAGUGUGUAUGUGUGUGUGGCCGGGUGCGGGCCGGCGCGGGAGGGAGCGGCAGAGGGCCCGGCGGCGGCGCCGGCUCCCGCGUCCAUUGUGUGUGACCCUCCGGGCGGCCGCCGCUCAACAAAGACGCUUUUGUUCCGUGUGCCCGCUCAGCCCGGGCGGCGCGGCCGGCUGCGAGGGCCAGGUCCCCGCGUGGGGCUGGCGGCGCGGCCGGCGCGCCCCUCCCACCCGGCACGCCCCUCGCCGGGCAGCCGGCCGCAGGCAUAGCUGGCGGGCCCCCGCCGCCUGCACCGGGCUGCGCUUCGCGGGUUCGAGUCCCCGCCGCCCGCGCCCGGUUCCGCGGGUUCGAGUCCCCGCCAACGCGCAGGCGAGGGCGGUGGUCCAGGAGCGCUUGAGGCGGUGGAGGCUUGCCUUCCUGGCUCGCUGCCUCCCUCAAGCUCUCCUGUCUCCUCCCCUCCCCAGCCUGCCCGGGUGACUCGGCCUCAGCUGACUCCGGCCGGGCAAAGUCUCCGGCACGUUGCGUAGCGCUCUGCUCCUGCCCCUAAGUCCGCCCAAGUUUGUGCCUGGCGGUCCACGAGGUGCCGGGGACCGGCCUGAGACAGGGCUCCUGACACCUUUCCGGACGUUAAGGUGUGAUCCGGAAAAACACCCUGAUGAAAACGUACGUUACCGGUUACAGGCCUCCUCACUUGGAGCUUGUUAUGAUCGGACUUGGGAGUUGUGAGGAGUGGAGGGCUUUCGGCCGCCUUUUGUUCCUGCCUGGCUUUGGCUCUCCGGCUCAGGUGCCUUGGGGAAGCUGCGUGCAGCAAGCUCCUUUAGAUCGCUUUCGUGUUUUACCUUUCUUUGACUUGAAAGUAGGAAAGAUGGAGCGCAGGGACUUGGUAAAGGGGAGUUAGGUCUCUUUACAGUAUCUAAACAGUUCGUGUUCGUUGCUAAGAGUCCGGAGGCAGUAUUAACUUUUUAUGGAUACAGAUAGAUGAUUGUCAGAGGGGGAAAUAAAAACGUUCUCAGGCCAUCAAACGAAGAGCAGCUAGCUUCAGAAUAAAUUGUUGAUUAUUCUAGCGUUUUUAUUUUGGUAAAAUUCUGGGUUUUGACGUUCUGUCUCUUUAACGUUGGAGAACUGCGUUGGAAAGAAUUUGAGAAGAAUGUGGGGUCUAACCAGGGUCCAGUCCUCAAAGGGAUUUUGUUGGUUGCAGAGACAGUCGCCACGUAGUCCCAGCUAGGCUUUGAGUAACGAUUCUCCUGCCUCGGCUUCCUGCUGGGUUUAACACGUGUGCACCAUUGUCCCCAGCUUGAGAGUUUCUAGAAAUGACAGAUUUUAGUGUUUGGAAAUAAUUUUGAAUUGAGUGGAAGAAACAUAUCUUUAGCUUGUAGUUGUUAAAAACCUGUUUGUAAGCUGCUUUAACAAAAAUAUAUGUUGUAUUAAUGUAAUUACAUCAUAAAUCUUGCUUUACUGAUGUCCCAAUUAAUAAUUGUCAUCUCGGAAGCUUGUCAGAUUUGAGCAGACAGUUCUAUCGCUUCAGUAUUACUGUUCCU
rnacentral:lncRNA from 1 species